CUUCUUUAAACAGUCAUCACUCGCAUUUCAAUUAAUCGAUUCUCAGAGUCUAGCUGCAGAUAGAAAAUUCCCUCAUCAUGAAAUAUCUUUAUAUCUUCACCGUAAUUGCUAUGGUCCUGGCGGCCGUUAGCGGUCAACGUUGCACAGGGCGCGGAUUCCGGUGCUCUUCCAACCGACAGUGUUGCUCGCGUAUCUGUAAUGCUUGGAGGAGGAGAUGUACAUAAAUAAAUGUCUGGCAGAUGACCUCGACGUUGCUAGAAUACUCGAAGACAGCAUUUUUUAAGGCUCUCAUUUGGUAUUAACUGGAUCGUUAUGUUGUACAAGUGCUCAUUGUUAAUUUGUAUAUCACGAAUACAAGAAAAUACAACUAUUCAAGCAUA